CCUGGUCCACUGAGGCCGGUGCACCCUCGGGGGCGGGCGUGUGCCCUCUCCAAGCCCCGUUCUCCUCGCGGCUCCAACCCGCGGUCCCUUUUCUACCUCCCAUUCCACACACAGUCUGGCACCAGCCCCUCAGGCGGUCUGAUGUGCGGAGCUGGCGGGGCUCUCGCAUCCCCCUUGGGGGUGCUAAGGCACCCGGGCUCACUCCGGGGCAGCCCUGCCGCGGGCAGGCCCACCCUACCCUGGACUGGCUCACGGCUCGCUUGACGCGGGAAUGUUUGCUGGACAGAGCUGAAAGAGUCCACAUGAAUAACUCAUGGUGAUCAGAACCA
rnacentral:lncRNA from 1 species